rnacentral:tmRNA from 1 species
GGGGAUGUAAAGGUUUCGACGGGGAUUUUGAAACAUGAUAAGCGAGUAGAGGUUUGUGCCAUCUCUUAAAACGGCACCGUUUUAAAAUUAGACGACAACAAUAAUUUUGAAUUAGCAGCUGCUUAAUUGCUGCUCGUCCUGCCGAUGAGUACCGCGGCUUCGGUUUGGGCGUCGAUCAGCGGUGAACGCAUUGAGGAAGCGCCUGCGUCCCCAAUGUGUAUUGCGGGCAACCAAGCUUUAUCGGGUGUUUGGUUCCGAUGCUGUGAGGGAA